UGAGUAUAGGUGUGAUAUUGCACAAAAAGCUUUGAUCUUUUAGGGGAUGGUGGAAACCCAUUAUAUUCAU
rnacentral:tRNA from 1 species